GACUGGGGGGGGUCACGGACCGGACGCAUGAGAGAGAAUGGGAAGCAAUGCAAAUAAAGAAGUCAGGAGAGGACAGACCCUGAAAGGCCGUGUCACUUGAGCAAGCUGGAUUUUAUCAUGAAGGCCCUGAAAGUGGAAAAUGAGUCUCAGUGAAAACCUAAGAUGGAUAGAGGUCAAGUUUUCUGGACCUGUGAAGGCAUAAGAUGGACUGGACUUCCAUUGCUGGUCUGGAAAAUGGAAGAAGGAGAAAGAUCCCAAUGACCAUUAACAAGGAAGCAGGAACUUUGUAUCUGCAACCAGGUGGAGCUCAAGGCUGCCCGUAACCUGAACGUCCCCGAGACGGGUUCUCCCUCCGAGCCGCCCCAACGGGGCAGGCAGCCCUGCCGGCGCUCUGACUUUGACCUUGUAAGACUGGGCAGAGCUAACUCUACUGACCUACCGCACCACUAACCGCGAGACAACAAAUCCAUGUUGCUCAAGCCCCAGAGUCGUUGGUAACCCAUCAAGGCAGCGAGAGAAAACCAACAGAGUAGAGACAGCCAGCGAGAGAGGGAACACAGGCAGGGGGA